AUGACGGUGACAAGGACGCUGGCAACCCGUGUCUCCUUCCACCGCCCCCAGCUCGUCUUCUCGCCGGCCGCUUUGCAGGAGCCUCCUUUUGCGCGCCCCCAUGGUCGGGUUGUGGCGACCACCAGAGGUCCGCCGCCGGUAGGAGCUCCCUCCUUCUCCACUACGAGGAACCAGCAGAGGGGGACGACUCCUCCUUGCAUCCCUAGCCGCGGCGUCCAACCUCUAACACCGCUUGAAACCCUAUCCCGAAUCCGGCAGAAGUGCAGCAGCACGGGAUCCCCUCCAAAAGUAGCAUCUUCUUCUUCCUCUGGUUCUUCUUCUUCUUCCCCGGGUCUGAUGCAUGUGUGUGUUCGCGUGGUCGUCUGCAGGGAGUUGAAGGAAGGGGUGGGCCAUGGAGAAGCUGCUAGGUGUGGGCCUGAAGCCAUGGAUGGAUAG
rnacentral:rRNA from 1 species